CUUUACUGUAGCCUGGAAUUGGGUCCGGGCUUCGCUUGCGCAGGAUAGGUGGGAGGCACUGAAACACUCCUUGUGGGGAGUGUGGAGCCAACGGUGAGAUACCACUCUAGCGAGGCUAGAAUUCUAACCUUCAGCCGUGAACCGGCGAAGGAACCGUUUCAGGUGGGCAGUUUGACUGGGGCGGUCGCCUCCUAAAAGGUAACGGAGGCGCGCAAAGGUUCCCUCCGGCUGGUUGGAAAUCAGCCCGUGAAGUGCAAAGGCAUAAGGGAGCUUGACUGCAAGAGCCACACCUCGAGCAGGGACGAAAGUCGGCCUUAGUGAUCCGACGGCGCUGAGUGGAAGGGCCGUCGCUCAACGGAUAAAAGUUA
rnacentral:rRNA from 1 species